GGGAGCAGCCGCAGCCCGCAGCUCGCAGCCCGCAGAGGACGCCCAGAGCAGAGAGCGGGCGGGCGCACGGACCGACGGACUCGCGCCGCGUCCACCUGUCCGCCGGGCCGGGCCCAGAGCACAGCGGGCACGCCGCGCGCGCCGUGCCGCCGUGCCCGCCGCCCGGGCCCCGCGCCAGGGCGCACACGCUCCGCUCCCCACACCGGCCCGGGCGGGAGUUUGCACCUCUCCCUGCCUGGGUACUUGGGCCGACACUGCAAAACCAACUUUGGAAAAAGUUUUUCGGGGGCGACUUUGGCUUCGAGGUGCCCAGAACUGCAUUUUCCGACUUCGGGGGCCUUUCCAGAAAAUGUUGCAAAAAAGCUAAGCCGGCGGGCAGAGGAAAACGCCUUUAGCCAGCGAGCGAAGACUAACCAUCGCCUGCCUGCCGCGUUCUGCUUCCUCUCGGAGGUUGGAGUCCCCUGGGCGCCCCCAUACGGCUAGACGCCUCGGCUGGCUCGCGACGCAGCCCCCCGGCCGUGGAUGCUCGCUCGGGCUCGGGAUCCGCCCAGGUAGCGGCCUCAGACCCUGGUCCUGCGCCCAGGUCCUCCCCAGCCCCCCAACGACGGAGCCGGGGC
rnacentral:other from 1 species